AGAUAACUAUGUGGUGGGACUCAGACUGCAAGUUACAAGUGAAGAAAAUCUGUCAAAGUCUCGGAUUGAAGAACUCGUGAUUAUAAAACUCCAGGAAGAAUUUAAAAGACGUGGACUUCCCAGUAACUACACCAUGAACCUGAGAAACUAUCAUAAAAUUGCUCCGUGAGCGAUGACAUCACACACAUAUACAUUACUGCAAUUUUUAUCUAACUAUCGCUCCACUUCUGCAUACCUUUUGCAAUACUAUGAAUGUAUCUGAUUUAGUAUGAAGCUUUAGACAAAUAUCGGAAAGAGUUUUAUUAUAAAUACUUUGUCUUUUUUAUUGGUGAAUAAUGUUUAAUAUAGUCAACCCUGUUGUCUUUAGACAUUUUUAUAAUUAUAUAUAAUUUUAUAACAGUAAGAAUUAAAGUGAUCAAAAACCUAUACAUAUAAGUACACAUGGAAUAUCUUAUUUAAUCUAAUUUUUAAUCCAAAUCUAAUAAACUGUAUGUUUGCAACUGUAUCAUUUGUUGUAUGUAUGCAAACCUACUCAGCAUACUGUAUCCCAAAUACAUUGCCAUUCAUCUUCCAUUAAACGACUACUCAUUAUUGGGACUACCGAAUAUUAGGAGUACAAAAAUUAUGCCGCAACCUCAGUACAUUCUAAACAUUGCUCUGACUCUGUGACAUUCAUAAACCUGUUUCACAAACCUUUCGUGAAAAUAACAAGUCAUUUGUAGGUUACACACUUCACUCUCAAGAACACAAACAGACGUACAAGGAAAUAUAAACUUACAUUUACCUGCAUUCAGUGCCGGCAGAACCAGUUUUCAAAUGGGGGCUGCGACAUCACUACACAGUUAUGAAUUCAUGCUGUCGUUAUUAUGCCUCACAGUGAUUUACUAACAUAACAAAAAUCUCUGAUUUACAUUUGCACCAAGGCUGUUCUAAAAUGAAGGCAACUUCAUUAGCUAUACCUCCUGAGAUCAUUUGUUUUCACCAAAGACAGCAUCACGUGUGUCCAGAGCAGAGAAUUCAAUCCCAGAAAGCAGUGCAGCAAGCUUUGUGAAAAAUCUGUGGGUAAUAACAGUGAUGAAUAGUGCAGGAGAAAAACUGAUAAAUAUUAUGCAUUUAAAGGAAUAGUUCACCCAAAAAUCUAAAUUAUGUUAUCAUUUACUCUUGUCAUUUCAAUCCUGUAAAACUCUCUUCUGCAGAAAACAAAAGAAGAUAUUUUGAAGAAUGUUGGUUACCGAACCCAUUGACUCGCAUUGCUUUUGUGUCCAUACAAUAGAAGUAAAUCACUGUAAAAAAAUGUCCAUAAAUGUAACAGUAAAAUACUGUAUAAAUGCUACAAUACAAAACUAGGGGUGGGCCGAUCCAAUACUCAAUAUCGAUAUUAGUCCGAUACUGGGCGAAAAUUAGUGGAUCGGAUAUUGUAGAAGUCGGGGAGUACAAUCCGAUCCAAUACCAUCAGUGUGACAUGCCGUAAAGCGCGACAUGCUCUGAGCGACAUGCCGUAAAGCGCGGCGAUUAGAAAACGUGGGUGAUAGUCCAUCGUUAAAAUGUCAGCUGUUUGGAAAUACUUUACAGUUAAAGGAGAAAAAAGCCAAGCCGAAUGCAAUGUGUGCAACGUAAGCAUUUUUAGAGGUGGCAAAGUGGGAAACUAUAAUACGACAAAUUUGAUAAAACACUUGCAUAAACAUAAUCUAAAGCAGUAUGAGGAAUUUAUGCAGACAACCAGUGCCAAGAAGAAAAGUGUUCCGCAACAACAAACACUACAGGAAGUCAUUCAGAAGCGUGAGAAACUUCCCCCCGAAAGCAACAAAGCAAAGCUGAUAAUGGAGAAAGUGACGGAAGGACUCUUAAAACGUGAGUCAGUGGUUUUGUGGCAGUUUUAAAGGUAGGGAACCUACUGCUAUCUCUUAACAUCUGAAACUUGAAGUUUAACCAAAUAUUUUAGUUUACAUUGCAAGUAUCUUUUUGUUCAGGAACUAAAUCCAUUUUAAAUGGUUAUUUUUAUGUGUUUAUGUCUUUUAUAGUUCAACCAAAGAGGUUACAUUUGAAAAAUUUUGUGAGUGCCUUACUGUACUGUGUUCUACUGUACAUUUUGUGAUGGAGGUAAUUUAUAUGUUUUAAGUUAAUUUAUUAUACUUAAUUUAUGGUUUACUUUGAGUGUUGCGUUACAUCCAGUACUUUGUUGGAAUUUGCACACAGUUGCACUUUAAAUUUAAUUUUGUAUGUUUAAGUUCAUUUUCAAUAAAAAUCUAAACUUAAGUCUUAAGUCAUGUUGUGGGUUACAUAUUUCAGUUUUUUGCACAGUAGAACAUUUGAGCUCUGUAGAACAUUUGUUGCACAGUUUAAGCAUGAUGCUUUUUGUAUGGCUGACAAAUGUGUUAUAAACAGCUUAAUUGAUAAAAAGGUCGAUGGAGAUGGUAUUGGAUCGGUAUCGGUAUCGACAGAUACUCAAGGUUAUGGUAUCGGUAUCGGAUAUGAAAAAGUGGUAUCAGCCCAGCCCUAUAUAAAACUGUAUUUCACAAAACGUGAUAGCCGUAGAAUUUACAGUGAAAAACUGUAUUUAUUGUAGUUAUUGUAGAACACAGUUCGAGCUGGUGAUUUAAAUGUGUUUGUAGCGAGGAAGGCGGGACGAGAGCCGUGGGGCAGGAAGGCGGGGCCGGUGGCGUGAGUGAUAAUGAGUGUCAGCUGUACGCGCACCGGUCCCGCAUGCCUCACGGGGAGCUAGGGAGCAUAAGAGGACGAGCGACGGGACUGCCGACGAGAGAGGACCGGGCCCGGAAACUUGUUAAACAAGAGAAAGAUGCCAAAUAUAAAAAGCGGGAGGGUCAUGAGGACCAGGAUUAAGAAUCGUUGCUUUAAGGUAUAGAACCUUUUUUCUUAAGAAAGUUCAGUAUGAGACACAAAAUCAAAUGCAUUUUCUUAUUUAUUUUUAGUUUCGCACUCAAAAUCUGGCUUAAGCACACACGUUCUUAUUUAAAAUAAUAUUUUUAGUAUUUGGAAUGGCUUCUGUAACAUUCCCUCUCGUCUGUAAGCCACGCCCCCCCAGCAUCAGCGUUUUCUCCCAGUUUCACCCGCUCCCUUUCACCUGGACCUUUAACACUACAAACUACACUCCCCGUAAUCCCUUGCACCCGAUCCACCCAUGAUUGCACUCACACCUGAACCUCAUCCCCUGAACACUAUAUAUGCCAUGUCUUUUGUUGUGUUCUUUGUCUUUGUAUAUUGUCAGUUGUAUUAUGCUGUGUACUAGUUUGACCAUUUUGAUACCUGUAAAUGUUGCUUGUCGAAUUAUAUUUACCCGUGGAUGUUACCUGUUAUUUAUACUUACCUGUGGAUGUUACCUGUCGUUUUAUUACUCACCUGUGGAUGUUACCUGUUAACUGGAUUGUUUCACCUUUACGACAGCAGGGCUUUGUGGAGGACUUUGCCGUGAUGCUACGGUGAAUUGGGACGCAUAACAUGCUUCCCGAUGGGAUUCAAUGAUGAUCAGUCUCAUCCGGUAUGGCCUAGCUCAUGCAGAAGCGAGAGCCAUUCAUUUCCAGGAUGAGACUGAUGAACUCAACCACGGAUCUGUCCCGGAAUUCCGAGGACCGACACAGAUCGGAGACCUCACCCAAUCCCAUCAGAAAGCAUGUAUUGACUGAGCGAUCAUCUCAAUCCACCCUAUGGCAAACGUCAAAGAAGUCCUCCACAUAGCUCUCCAGAAGACGACCGUCUUGGCAGAGCUGGUACUGGAGAAUGUCCUCUGGAGAGGUGAAGCCGAAGUAAUCCAUUUAGGAGGUCGAGUCUUCUGCUACGGGAUCACCCACGGAAACACAGACGGAGGACAAGGAAACAGUCCUGGCAUGAAGCUCAGAGAUACUGCAGAGAGUUUUACACAGAUCUGGCCAUCGUGAGAAAUGAAACAGAACAUCAACAGAUACUGAACGUUACAGAUUCUAAUGGUUAUUAUGGGUGGAUUGGUCUGUACAGAAACAGACUGUGGUCAGAUCAGAGCAACUCUUCUUUCACAUACUGGCUGCCAGGGACGCAAUAUGUUUCUCCACAACCAGAUAAUGGUAUAAAUACCCCAGGACUGCAGGGAAGUCAACAUUGUACCGCUGUGUCUUUACAAUCUUUUGGCCAGUGGACAGAUGAGAGCUGCUUUGAACGUUCACCUUUCUUCUGUUAUGGAGUGGUGGGAUUGCGAGUGAAAUUUAUGAGGGAACUUGAAGAACCCGAGGUGACAAAACAGAGAUCCACAAUUCUUAGAACUCUCAGCCAGUCAGAGUGAGCGCCGCCGAAUGGGCACUUGAGACCAGCAUACGAGAGGCCAGUCCGUGGCGUGGGAAGAUAGCAAGGCCCCACCAAAGGGGAAGUCCCAAACUCAAUGUCCACUCGAGGUAAGGAUUCAAAAGACAAGGCACCCGUGAAAAGGUAUAUCCCACCUUGUUGAAAUACCCGUUGCACUGUAAGGGUCCACAGGGCAGAAACACACUUCCACUUGGUGAGAACACACUUGAAAACUGGUAAUAACUCCACUUGACUGAGAAUUCUCCGGCAACAGGAAUCCUUCCACUUGAUUGAAGAGAUGCUUAAAGAUCGGGAACCGACCGCUUGGUAAAGCACCCACUUGAAACCGGAACUAAUCACUCGACAGCAGUCACUCCCUCUACAGGAAACCUCCACUUGACAGGGUAGGAGCUAGAACACUGGAACCAGACCACAAUGUAGAUUUCUCAUGAGGACUAGGUUUGUGAUCGCUGGGUAGACAUCAUAAAGCAGCGGAGACCCAGAACUGCACCAAUAACUCUGGAGCCAGACAAGACAAGGUGAAAACUACAAAACUGAUUUUUACAAGACUAGUUUUAGCAAGCCAGUAAGCGAUCAACCAAAAGGGUAUUAACUCUAAAGGACUGACACGGGACAAGUGAAAACACAGGGAAUAUGAAGGGACGGAAUCAGAGAAGGAAACGAGUAGCCAGCUGUGAAAAGAAGAAUCAAGAGUAGAUCCAGGUGAAAGCAGGGAAACCUAAUGAGGAGCUUAACAAGGUAACAAGAGGGGUGGGGUGAAGCACGCGGACUCCGAACACGUGGCGAGCUGUCAAAACAAAGUCACAUGUCCGAUAUAACAAAGACAGAGGACAAUAAGGAAAAGAAAUAGGAAGUGCUAGACCCGAGACCUGACACUAUACAUUAGAUCAGGAUGUGUACUCCCAUCCUGCAAUACUGGACAUGUAUCAGAUUUGACAAGAUUAUAAUAUAAUACUAUGUGCUCACUUUUUGAACAAAGGCAAAAACAUUUUAGUUUCUUUUGUUUCUUUUAUUGCUGAAAUUGUUUGAUAGAAUCUAUACAGUUGUCUAUAGCCAUAAAUAUCACUAUCAUAAAUAACAAUCUGCUGAAGGUCCUUAUAAUCUCUGUCUUUUGAUGUAAAUGAUUUUAACAUGCUGUUUGUAAUGGAGGUUAGAAAAUACAUAUACUGUGUGUCCAUCAAUAUAUUGCCACAAGUCUUUAAUUAUAUGGCUCAUUAUUGGGAUAAGACAAAAUAAAAAAAAUUAAAAAUAUUGUUAUUUGAUAUGCAGUGCUGAAGCAAUGUCAGUACAUUCUCAAAAUGGUCGCUUUCUCCCGGCAUCCCUCCUGACUUAUAGAAACCUCUUUCACAAAACUCUUGUAACCUUGUAACCUUGUCGGUGCAGUGACACGACGUCCACCAUACAUAAGUUCAUAAACAGAUGUACAAGGAAAUACAGUCAGAUUUACCUCUAUGCAGUGGCAGCAGAACCAGUUUGGGUGGGUUGUGAGAAGACUACAUAGAGAAGUGAACUCUUGUUGGCAUGAUUUGGAACUGACAUUCGAUAACAAUCAUUCAAUAACAUAUAUAGUAAUAAUAUGAAUGUAUGCUCUAGUGACACUCAUAUGCAGAGUUCCCAAUUGCUGUUUAAAUGAUGCCCUGAUUUCCAUGUGAACCAGUACUGGAAUAAAAGCCAUGCCACAUACGAACACUGACACUGCAUUUCUAUAGGCAAAUAAAUCUGUGUCUGCACUGUUAUUACAAAAUAACAAAAUAAAGAUACAAGUGGCUAUAUGACUAUUCACAAUGUGAAAGUAUUGAGUGUCUUAGCUUUUAAAAAUGCUUGCUGUACCAU